CGGUAACAGGUCUUCGGAUGCUGACGAGUGGCGGACGGGUGAGUAACGCGUAGGAAUCUGCCCAUCUGUGGGGGAUACCAGUUGGAAACGACUGUUAAUACCGCAUAAUAUCUGCGGAUUAAAGGUGGCCUUUGCGCUGCCGCAGAUGGAUGAGCCUGCGUUGGAUUAGCUAGUUGGUGGGGUAAGGGCCUACCAAGGCUACGAUCCAUAGCUGAUUUGAGAGGAUGAUCAGCCACAUUGGGACUGAGACACGGCCCAAACUCCUACGGGAGGCAGCAGUGGGGAAUAUUGGACAAUGGGGGAAACCCUGAUCCAGCAAUGCCAUGUGUGUGAAGAAGGCUCUAGGGUUGUAAAGCACUUUAGUUGGGGAGGAAAGCCUGUGAGUUAAUAGCUUGCAGGAAGGACGUUGCCCAAAGAAUAAGGACCGGCUAACUCCGUGCCAGCAGCCGCGGUAAUACGGGGGGUCCGAGCGUUAAUCGGAAUUACUGGGCGUAAAGGGUCUGUAGGUGGUUUGUUAAGUCAGAUGUGAAAGCCCAGGGCUCAACCUUGGAACUGCAUUUGAUACUGACAAACUAGAGUAUGGUAGAGGAAUAGGGAACUUCUGGUGUAGCGGUGAAAUGCGUAGAGAUCAGAAGGAACACCAAUGGCGAAGGCAACAUUCUGGACCAAUACUGACACUGAGGGACGAAAGCGUGGGGAUCAAACAGGAUUAGAUACCCUGGUAGUCCACGCUGUAAACGAUGAGUACUAGCUGUUGGAUUCGGUGUAAAGGAUCUAGUGGCGCAGCUAACGCGUUAAGUACUCCGCCUGGGGACUACGGCCGCAAGGCUAAAACUCAAAGGAAUUGACGGGGACCCGCACAAGCGGUGGAGCAUGUGGUUUAAUUCGAUGCAACGCGAAGAACCUUACCUGGUCUUGACAUCCUGCGAACUUUCUAGAGAUAGAUUGGUGCCUUCGGGAACGCAGUGACAGGUGCUGCACGGCUGUCGUCAGCUCGUGUUGUGAAAUGUUGGGUUAAGUCCCGCAACGAGCGCAACCCCUAUUGAUAGUUACCAUCAUUAAGUUGGGUACUCUAUUGAGACUGCCGCUGACAAGGCGGAGGAAGGUGGGGACGACGUCAAGUCAUCAUGGCCCUUACGACCAGGGCUACACACGUGCUACAAUGGGUAUUACAGAGGGCUGCGAAGGUGCGAGCUGGAGCGAAACUCAGAAAGGUACUCUUAGUCCGGAUUGCAGUCUGCAACUCGACUGCAUGAAGUCGGAAUCGCUAGUAAUCGCAGGUCAGAAUACUGCGGUGAAUACGUUCCCGGGUCUUGUACACACCGCCCGUCACACCAUGGGAGUGGGUUGCUCCAG
rnacentral:rRNA from 1 species